GAUGAAGGCCUUCGGGUCGUAAAACUCUGUCCUCAAGGAAGAUAAUGACGGUACUUGAGGAGGAAGCCCCGGCUAACUACGUGCCAGCAGCCGCGGUAAUACGUAGGGGGCUAGCGUUAUCCGGAUUUACUGGGCGUAAAGGGUGCGUAGGCGGUCUUUCAAGUCAGGAGUGAAAGGCUACGGCUCAACCGUAGUAAGCUCUUGAAACUGGGAGACUUGAGUGCAGGAGAGGAGAGUGGAAUUCCUAGUGUAGCGGUGAAAUGCGUAGAUAUUAGGAGGAACACCAGUUGCGAAGGCGGCUCUCUGGACUGUAACUGACGCUGAGGCACGAAAGCGUGGGGAGCAAACAGGAUUA
rnacentral:rRNA from 1 species